UACGGGGGGGGCAAGCGUUGUUCGGAAUUACUGGGCGUAAAGGGCUCGUAGGCGGCCAACUAAGUCAGACGUGAAAUCCCUCGGCUUAACCGGGGAACUGCGUCUGAUACUGGAUGGCUUGAAUCCGGGAGAGGGAUGCGGAAUUCCAGGUGUAGCGGUGAAAUGCGUAGAUAUCCGGAGGAACACCGGUGGCGAAGGCGGCAUCCUGGACCGGCAUUGACGCUGAGGAGCGAAAGCCAGGGGAGCAAACGGG
rnacentral:rRNA from 1 species